CUCCAGGCGAUGUGGGACACACUCAAACAAGACCAAGGUAUGGAACUUGUCAAUUCAACAGAAAUGAGGGGGAAAAUUAAAUAAUAUAAAAUAAAUGAAAAAGUUUCACUUCAUGUGCAGUACCUGGCCUCUAGAGUUGGCAUGUAGUGGAAUACACAUGCUUAUGGUUUCUUGCUGAAAUAUACAGAUUCAACUUCAUCACAUGGAUUUGAAUUUUUUGUUUUAUACUUAUGUUUGUCAACUUCUUCACAAAAUAUUUCCUCAUAACUUUUUUUAAGCAUGUGUUCAUGCAUUGACUGUAAAACUGUUAAUACUUCUUCAAUCCCAUCUAUCUGGUUUAAAGUUUUCCUUUUUUACUAUUUACUGCAUUAUGUGUCAUUCAUUGUCUUUAAGAUGUUAACUCAUGUUGAUUUUUCAUAGAUGGUGGGGAUGCAAGAAAUGAGUCCAGGUCCUAAAGAAAUUUUAUCAGUUAUUGAUUCUUUAAAGAAACAAGUUGCUGUUGAUCAGUGUGUAUAUAUAUAAAGAAAAGAAUGGAAGAAAGCAGGUUACAUCAACAAUCAUCUUUACAAGUUAUCAUUGGAAAGAAGAAACAAUAAGGCAAUCGGUGCUGAUAAAAGCAUAGACCUACUGACAAAGAGGCAUAAAGAUGCAAUUAAUAUGCAAAAUGGUAUUGACGAAAGUAAUGGAGACCUGCUGUGAAAAAUACUGCGGAUCUGCAAGAAUCAGUUUAGAGGCUGUCAUUGUCCAAAAAGUCAGUGUCAGAGUCGCCAAUGUCCAUCCAUCGCUGCAGACCUAGAAUGUGAUCCAGAUGUUUGCAGGAAUUGCUGUGUUAGGUGAGGUGAGUAUAUUGUUUUUGAUCCAGAUCUUUCCGUUCUAUAACUUUGUAGAUGCUGGUGAAAACUAGCUUUGGAGGCUUGCAUUGCAGCAUGUGCAAUUUGGGAAAUAAUUUCAUCGAGUUCAACCUAUUGAGUAAAAUGUGGAGGUUGAACUUUUUGGAGAACUGAAUGUCUGAAACUAAAAAUUUUGUUAAUUAGCAAAGGUCGUGUUGAAAUUGAAAUUAAGUUUAGAGUGGCAAAAUGGGUAAUAACAGAAAUUCAUCCAAUCUAAGGAUGAGAUAUGGAAAUAAGGAUGCCCAAUGUAGACUCUGGCUUUGAUGCAUGGGUAAUUAAUAAAAAAAAACCUGUACAACAUGUUAUAUAGUGACGAAUUUGGCUUUGCACUUGAGCUAGAGCAAGGUUCUGGGCAUGGUCAAUGUUUGUCUUACAUUCUCCUCAAUUUUGGCUUUAAAAACUAGCAGUCUAGCAAGUGGAGUUGGAAUUUAAUUGGGUUUCGGGUAUGAUAUCAUUUAGCAUGGUAUUUUAACUUGAUCUUCAAUGAUAAAAAUUAGUCCAAGCUGAGCUUGCAGUGUCAUUGGAUUCUGGAUCAAAUUGUCAAACUUAGGCUUUUUUUGUUUAAAAAAUUUAAUGAAAAUAAAAAAUUCUGACUUGUCAUACUAUGAUAAAUUGAUAAUACUCGUAUGCACGGACACAUUUUCAAAAUUUGAAGUUAUGGAUCUGUAUAUUCUAUGGUUUAUGAUUGUUUACUCUGCUUUUGUCUUUACGUUUCUAUAGCUACUCUCUCUCUCUCUCUCUAUCUUAUUGUACGACUUUCUACAGUAUUUUUGCCUUUUGAAAAUGGUCUUGCAGUUGCGGUGAUGGCACUCUUGGGGUUCCUUCCCAAACAGGUGAUAAUUAUGAAUGUAGGAACAUGAAGCUUCUUCUCAAACAACAGCAAAAGGGUAUUGAAUCAAAACUUUUGAAGAAUUUCUGCAGCCACUGGCUGCUUCCACAACCCAACAGUAACAUCGAUUGGACACUAAUGUAAGAAUGUGGGACUGUGGAAGCAACCAUCAUGCUUGUUGAAAUAGUGGUCCCUUUUUCAUUAAUCAAAUUCUAAAUUACAUGGUGUGACCGUCGACGCUGAAGGGGAAGAUUAUUCUUGGCUGAUAUGUUGUGGCUUUCUUACAAUCUUGUGCAGCAAUGUAGUGAAAUUGGCAGUUGCAGCAGUGAGUUGUUGCGACAUAUUUUGAUUGUACUUAAUGCGGGAGAACUCUUCAUUUUGGAUGACCCAUUUUUUGCCCCACUGUAUCUUUCAUUUCUCAAGGCAUAAAUGUUGAUGAUCUCGUUGACUUUUUA